CAUAACUAGAAACGUGUUCAUAUAUGUAAACAACAUAAACCUUCAUUAAUGUCAAAAUGUUUACAACACAAACCGCAAAAACUGAAGUGAAGUUAACUUUCACAUUUCCGGAUCGUAAGGCGAUUAUCAUUUGAAGGUGUGGUUAAAAUAUUUUGUCAUCCAUAUUUCGUAUUACCAUAGCUGAAGAUGAUUAAGUUGUUGUGUCUACUUGUCACAUUCGGUGUGCUUUUGACAACUUGUUCGGGACAAUGGCCACUUGGUCCAGGAUUUUACAGUAGCAUGAAUCAGAUGACCAGAAAUCUUAACAAUAUGGCCUCUAAUCUGCAAAUAAUGGGAGAAAGAAUGGCCAGGGAGCGGGAUGCUAAGGUGGCCGACGAUAUGCGGAGAGCACAACAAGGAGUGCCUUUCGGUGACGGAGGGACGGUUUUUAUCACAGCCUCUGGAGGUCUAGGCUAUGCAUACAAUUCUCCCGAUGGUUCGUUCACACUGUACUCGUUAGGAAGUGGAAGUCCACCACGCGGCUACAUGUAUCAUGUUGGACCAUCCGGCACAUCUUACAGGAACUGGUGAUUCAUAUCGCCGUGUACAUUGCUUCCAAUCAUUCAGUGAGCCAAUAGAACUCAUUCAAACCAAACUAUACACUUAUGUGAAUACAGGACUAUUCUACAAGAUGCACCUUCUGCAGUUAAAUUGUUGUAUGAUACAAUGGAAAACGAUUACUUCACACUUAACAAUUAUUCUAGCACUAAACUUCUUAUAUAAAGUAAUAUUCUGAAAUUUAAGAAAAUUUUAAAACAAUGUGAUUUAAACUUUUCACCGAUCCAACUUUUAAUUUUAUUCUUUGUGCUUCAAACCAUUCUUAUAAGUCCCGAAAAUGAACAACAAUGUCAAGAAUAUUUAUUCAAUCGAAACUUUUUAUCACUAAAUAAAAUAAUAACAAUAAAUAUAUCGUGUCAUAUAUAAUUUCGGCUGUUAUGUAAUCAUAUUUCACUGACAAAUCAAUGUCUCUGUAUUCUUAUCCUUAUGAAAAUUGGAAGUCGCCCGUUUUAUAAAUGCUUGACUGUUCAUUAUUUUCGUGACUUUUAAAAAAGCACAAGGAAGUAAUAUAAAUUUAAUUCAUACAUGCAUGCUUUGAUUCUCUUCUAGUUUGGAAGUGUAACGUGAAACGUAUUGUUUGACAAAUUUCAAAAAUGUAUUUAGUUAAAAACAAGUAUUGCGUUAGAAGAUUUGUUAAAGUAUGUUGUUGCGUGAAAUGUGGUUUCAAUGAAAUCAAACUUAAGAAGCAGUUACGUUGUAAACACUAAGCAUAUAUUUCUUACGUAUGGAACAUUCUGUUAACAUUUAAAAUUAGAAACAAUAAAAAGCAUAAAUUAUGAAAACUUCCCAUACCAUACCAAUACAAGGCCAAGAUCUCUUAACAAAUACUUUGCACACUAGCGUACGAAGUGUGUUUAUAUAGUUUCGAAAUUUAUAUAGUGCGUUGUUUGCGUCUUUAUAAAGCUGCAAGAGUAGUGACCCAUUUACAAUAAUGGCGACCGUGUACUGGUAAAUCUACAGGGAGACAAAUUCUCUCAGGUGAAGCUGUCGCGGUAAAUCUAAAUUGAUUCUGACUUUGGAUAAAUAAUAAAAGCAUGGCCUAUCUAUCGUACAUAAGGUAGGUAUUUUCAUAACACCAGUGACUUUGUCCUUUCAGUUUUAUAUGACCGUAAGGGAAAUCAAUCUAUGUCGCAAUGAAGAACCUCUAACAUGUUUGACUAAUAUCAGCUUCGCUCUUGCCGAUAUGGAUUUCCUUGACAGCUUUUAUUUCGUAUCCUGUCACCAACAAGCUGUAUAACUAAUAAUACAAUAAAUAAAUGCAGGAGUAUCAUGAAAAAAAAUCCUUUACAAACUUUCAAACAGUUUCUAGUACGUUCAUACAAAAGCAGACCGGAUGAGCCUAUGGUGGUUAAAUUAUACCCUGUCGCCCGAUACCACGACAGCGCGACAAAAUGACAAAUACAGACGCUGUAGACAACACGACAACUAAAGAAGGUGAUGCUCUGUCAUGUUGGUGGAGCGAGGACAAGGUGAAAGCAAUCUUUGGUAAAUAAAAGACGCUAGAACGAUAGUUUCGUAUCCGCCAGACGCAGUACGAAAACAUUUGUCGAAAUAGCGACAUAUAUUUAAGAUCUGUUGAGUUAUAAUAUUGUGACAGUCGUAUUUUCGUCCCACCAAAACCAUAGAUGGAAAACACGACAAAUAUAGAAAGUAUCGUUCUGCCAUACUGUCAUUUUGAAGGGGCGAAGACAAUAAUAAGACAGCUGGACAAAUACAGGGCAACUGAACAUUUUCAUACCCACAAUCACGAAAACUCGACAAUUAUAUCUUCACCAAAUCAACACGACAAUUUGGCAGAAAGAAUACUUGUGGAUAUUUCGUAUUGCCGUCUUGUACAGAACAAUUACUGCCUUUCAGGAAAUGAUACUGCAUUCUGAUUACACUAACCACUUUGAACGGCAAAACCGAUCCCUAAUGAUAAUGAAAUUUUAAUUUUGUUUCUCUUUUUAAUUCAGCUGACUUGCUUUAGGUGUCAGAUAGUUGUACUUUCUGUUUUGCUUUGUUGUUCUUUCAUCUAUGAAUUUAAAUAUAACCAUUUCUCCUAGCAAAAUAUAUUCAGGUCCGAGAAAUUAUAGGUAAUUGUAAUUGAACCGAUACCAAACCCAUCCUUUAGCGAUUAACAAAGCUUCAUGUAAUCAUUUUGUUAUACGCAUAUGGAGAUUCUGAUGUUUUGACAUUACAUGCCUAACAGUGAUGAUCACAGUUUUCAAGCUGUACAAGAUCAAUUAAUUAAUUGUUCAAAAACAAUUUAGUUGAAAUAUUAUUCAUAACUAUAAUCGCUGGCUGCGCAUAAUGUCUACCAGAAGACUCCGGCACAACAACUCGUCACAUACAAAAUGCGUCCAGCUGACGGGGCGAAGACAUUGCAGCAUGACAGGUCGGCUAAUAAAGGGUGCCAGAAUGACAUGUUCUACACGUUGGAACCAGACUCGACAAAUUUAUAUGUCGAGUCGAAGACUCAUCUCGUGUUGGCAGGGUGAAGGGAAAAAAAGAAAAUGCGCUGAUAUUUCGUCCAUACCUCUUUUAUAUAACUAUAACAAAUUUAUAUAAGAUUUUAAAAAACUGUUUUCGUAUUUAUCAAUAUGGUGGCUUUAUACUUAACAAACCUGCUUUAUACAGUUUGUUCCUAGUAGGCAAGGUUUGAGAUCGUCAGAAAAUUCUGAAUGUCGUUAUGUUGUUUCACACAAGUGCAAAACAUUAAAUGACAGAAGUCUCUGCAUUUUGAUUUUAUGUGUUUUUUACGUUUUACGAUUAAUAUUUUUAAGGUUUGUUUAUGUACAACGCCAUUGAACAUGUUAUUGCGUAGAAAUAGGCGUCUAAUCAAAUAAAUCAGUUUCAGAAUGACACAUAUGAACCUCAGAUAUUUAACGUGAUGUUUUUAGAAAAUAUAUUUUGAUAUUAAUUAAGACUGGUAAAAUUUGAGUUUUUUUAUAAGUAAACACACGAACAGCUAUUAUUUUGUAAAUAAGUUACGCCCACUGUAAUGUCAAAAUGUUAACAACAAAACCACAAACAUUCAUGAAAUGGAUUUUCACUUGCUCUAUUACAAGACGAAUCUCAUGCAAAGGCGGACAUAAGAGAAAGAUUUUACACGCACAAAAUAGAUUUCUUCAAAUAUCAGCGAAAAUGGUGAAGAUGAUUAAGUUAUCGUGUCUACUUGUCAUAGUUGGUGUACUUCUGACAACAUGCGUGGGACAAUGGCCGCUUGGUCCAGCAUUUUACAGAGGCAUGGACCAGCUGAACAGAAAUCUUAACGAUAUGACGGUUAGACUAGAUGCCAUGGGAGAAAGAAUAGCGAGAGAAAAUGCGGCUCGACAAGCAAGAGGCAUCUCAGUAUCACAGGGAAGUGUGUAUGUAAGCAACGGCAACGGAAUAUUUAUGACAGGAACUGGUGGUCUUGUGAUGCAGGACGAUAUAAGAAGAGCACGAAACGGUAUUCCUUUCGGGAACGGAGGCUCGGUAUUUAUCACAGCCUCGGGAGGUUUAGGAUAUGCCUACAACUCGUCCGAUGGGUCGUUCACAAUGUACUCUUUAGGAAGUGACAGUCCACCACGUGGCUACAUGUACCACGUGGGACCGCACAGGACGUCUUUCAGAGGCUGGUGACCAACUAAUUCUCAGAAAAUUUAUAAACCAACGGAAGUCAGUUCGCAUCACAAUAUAUGAUAAAAACUGCAAGGAUUUACAUCACCGUGCAUAAUUAUAAACUUGCAAUGUACAAAGCUUCUGCUGACUUCCGUAAUGGUUUCUUCUUCUUAAUUUUCUUCUUUUAUAUAUAAAUUUUCAACACUAGAUAAAAAAGUAGUAUUAUACAUGAGUUUUAAAGAGAUAUAUUGAUAGUGUUAUUUUGUUGUAACAGUCCAUCUUUAUGGGGUCAUUUUGGACAACACAUUUUUUUUUUAUUUUUAUACAGUCAUGGAAUCACGUAAUUUUAGAUACCCUAGUUAGUUUGAAAGCAACGUGCAGGGAUUUUUAGUAAAACGUUUUUGUCAUAAAAUCAAAAGUAACGAAACAUAUCUCAACAUAAACAAAAAAAUCAUUACUUACUACCGCACUAUGAGAUCUAUAGAACAAUGUAUGAAUAAUGUACUAUUUUUGUAAGUUUAACGGAAUUAUAAGAAAAAAAAAACGUUUUUAGGUUAAUUAAAACUGAAAUUUCGGUUUUCUUCGGAAGUUAGUAUACAUACUCUACGUCUAGUUGGCAUCAUCCGUUUUGCUAGUCAGAAAGAAAAAAAAAUGUGUUUCACUUUGGAAAAACACGAAGAAGGAAAGCUAUUCUAAAACAUGUAGUGAAUAUGAAAGAAAUACAAUUUUAAACUUUUAUGUUUGUAAAGUAAUUAACAGAAAGAAGGAGUUGGAUUGCUUGAUGCGCAACAAGUUCGGUUAUAAACAGUGCCACAAAAUAGUUUAUGUCUGUCUUUGCAAAGUCGUGAAUGGCUAGAUUGUAUAACGGCAGAUGAAGGAGUUAGGUGAGACAGAGCUUUAUUUAGGAUGUCCUACGACUACAGGGGUGUCCGUUUUCGUGUACAUGUUGAUAGCAAAUUAUUAAUCUUUAAAAGCAUCUUACGGAAUGACGCUUACAGCAUAAUUGCUUUAUUCGAAAAAUAAAACAAAUGUUUACAUUUUGUCUUAAUUUUAUUAUACUGAACACUUACAGUAGUUAAAGUGAAUUGGCGACAACCCUGGACGAUGACUUUGUAUCUUAAAGCGAUUUAUGCGCCUGCAUAUAAAUAUACCGUUAAAGGGACGUAUUACAUGUACUUUUUCUGCUGACUCUGUUAAACGUAUUUUUCAAUAACCGCAGAAAAUGUUUGAUGGAAAUAUGAAAACUCGUACAAGCUGUGCUAUAUCACUAAUGUAAAGCCAGGUUGGUUGUAAAGGCCGCAGCAAGAUUCAAGUGUAAUCGUUUACGUCCCUGCAAACAUUAUUUAAUGCACAUUCUCAGAAGCACCUCCCGCAUUCCUACCUGAUCGAACAAUUAUAAGAGUAUAUUGCGCUCUAAAUGACCGCCGCGGUCGAGCGACAAAGAUAGCCGCCUUUCAACUACUUAAAUCUAGAAUCACACUGUUCCGGAUAGACUUUAUAUCUUCUACGAAAUAGAACGUAACGAGUCAAAGUACAUGUGAAUUAGGACAAAUGUUUCGUUAAACAGAGAAUGACCUGUCUUGAAAGUUUCUCCUACUUGUUAUGAACAGUUUAGUAUAUUCUUUAUGAUUAACCAAGGCAUAUGUGACAUGAAAAAACUACAACAAAAAUUCACCCGAGGGGAGGUUUCAAAAGACUUUACAAGAACCCUAAAUGAUUAACCUGUCCGUUCUUUUUAGUUGGUAAAAAACGCACAAUCUAUACUUAAUCUAUUUAUUUUUUGUAAAUAAAAUCUAAAACGUAUGCUUCAUAACUGCAACGAUUACAUAUUAGAAAAGUUUUUUAUUAUACAGAGAAAACUUGUAAGCUUGUCUUUAAAAACGGAAUAAAAAUUAGAUUAAGGCUUCAGUCAAAACUAGACUAUUUUUGAUUUGCAACAACUUUUUAUUUAUUAGCCAUACAACUUUGAUGUUCAAAACUUGCAAUCUUCACCAUUUAUUAUGUAAGAGUUGAAAGAAAAACCUAUUCUGCCUCGUUACUGGCCAUGAACUGCACAUACAUUUUCUAACAAGUAAAGUACAUGCUUUCUACAAAACCAUAUUAAAAUUUUGAAAUUGGCAUUUUAUGGUCAGUGAUAUCUCAAGAAGUCAACAACAAACAAUAAAAUUUGGCAAUACAAUAUGUGCGAGACGCACGGCUCAACAUGUGAACUCCUCGACCCUCACAAAUUGACAUUAAUCAACGUGUAAAAAAGCACAUCAAAAUCUUACUGAAUAACAUGAGCUGUGGAAAGACUUCGAAGCUUCGCUUUUCAAAAGCCUUGUCACAAACAAACAAAAAUAGCUGAAGUUUAAAUUUGCUCACAAUAUAGUUGAAGACGAGGUCAUAACUUUGUGUAAGAAUGCAAACUAAUUAUGGAAUCUAUGCACUGCACUAGUAUCAUUACUAUGCAAAAGUGUUAGAUGUUACGAUACAUUCCAGUCAUUGCUUGAAUACAACGACUUAACCAAAUUUUGCUGAGUAAAAAAAGGAGGCUAUCGGGAAAAGGCAAAAUUUAGUUAAUGUAAUCUGUACGUUGAAUGCCAGGUCAUUACAGUGAACAUGUCUGUGAAGUUUUGAUGUUUGCAGAGAUACCAGCUUACAUGCUUCAACUAAACCAAGUAUUGCUAAGUCGAAGAAGCAGAGUAUCUUUGUAAACAAUCAAAACAGAGUUAUUUCGUUCGUUAUUUCGUAAUGUCGCCCCGCCGAAUGUCGCUAUGGCGCCCCGACGUUUGGCGAGGCGACGUUUGGCGGGCGACAUUCGGCGGGGCGACGUUCGGCGGUGUGCCAUAACGACGUCUGUCGUUCUAUCGCUGCGACAGAACGGAAUAACGAAAUGGCAUAAAUCAGACACCAUAAAUCUAUGCAUUGCAUGCCGCAUCAUCCUAUUGAACACGUGUGGGAAGGUAAAACAGUCCUCAUAGGCAACUACUGAUAGACCAGCUUAUAUGCAACAAUUUAGCAAAUCUGGAAGCGUACGCCGACAUGGACGUUGGCGCCGAUCAACGAAUGAAAACAAUAGUAAUAUCUAUUCUUCGAAUAUUCGAACUAAAACAAAUUUCUUUGAAUACAGAUCCAGAUCAAGCUGUUUAAGUUAUUUAUAUUUCUUUAAAUUUGUGAUUUUCAGAUCAUAGAAUUGCUCUAGAUUAUUUGUCGUGAUGACGUCAAUUUUCAAUGAAAAUUUACAAAACCUGGAAAUAAAAUUGAAAAUUGUUCAUUAUGAAAUGGCAAAUAAUUUGGGUGAUCAAACAAAAAUGUAUAUUCUCGUUUGAGCUAUGUAAGUUCAUCAUCGGAAACGCACCAAUGUAAGCAAUGAAGUUAAUUUCAUCUCAAUGUUAUCUAUCUGUUCCCUCUUGUUACUACACCUUUUAAUAUAAAAACUGAUAUCACGAAAAGCCAUUUAUUUUAUCUAACACAUAACUAGAAACGUGUUGAUAUAUGUAAACAACAUAAACCUUCAUAAAUGUCAAAAUGUUUACAGACAAACCGCAAAAACUGAAGUGAAGUCUAUAACUUUCACAUUUCCGGAUCGUACGGCGAUUAUUUGAAGGUGUGGUUAAAAUAUCCAUACUUCGUAUUACCAUAGCUGAAGAUGUUUAAGUUGUUGUGUCUACUUGUCAUAUUCGGUGUGCUUUUUACAACUUGUUCAGGACAAUGGCCACUUGGUCCAGGAUUUUACAGGAGCAUGAAUCAAAUGACCAGAAAUCUUAACAAUAUGGCCUCUGAUCUGCGAAUAAUGGGAGAAAGAAUUGCCAGGGAACGGGAUGCAAAACUGGCCGACGAUAUGCGGAGAGCACAACAAGGCGUGCCUUUUGAAAACGGAGGGACGGUUUUUAUCACAGCCUCUGGAGGUCUAGGAUAUGCAUACAAUUCUUCCGAUGGUUCGUUCACACUGUACUCGUUAGGACAUGGAAGUCCACCACGCGGCUACAUGUAUCAUGUUGGACCAUACGGCACAUCAUACCAGAACUGGUGAUUCAUAUCGCAGUAUACAUUGUUUCCAAUCAUUCUAUGAGCCAAUAGAACUCGUAUUCAGUCAAACUAUACUGUUAUGUGAAUAUUGGACUGUUCUACAAGAUGCUCCUUCUGCAGUUUAAUUGUUUUAUGAUACAAUGGUAAACGAUUACUCACACUAAAUAAAUAUCCUAAAAUCCCGAAAAUAAGACACGGCUUAUUUUAAAUUUUCGUAAGGAUUUGGUGGCUUAUUAUCGAGACCGGCUUAUUUUUGAGUACCGAAAUACUGAAGAUAUGGAUGUAAUAUAUUUUGCGUUUGAGUAAAAACAUCGACGUCGGUAAAUACUUACAAUUUGUUACAAUGUCUUAAUGAAAAUAAUCCGAUUCUUACAGAUAAUUACCCAUAAUAAAGUUUUAUUUGGCCUAACAAACAAAUACACCUAUGAUUUAAUCGGCCAACGGGUAUGAAUAACUUGCACAAUACGUGAUAAACACUGCAUUGUGUUAUAAAGACCGGUCAAGUUUAUUAGUAGAACUGACGUGACAAGAAGUGUUUGAGACAGGAAUUUUAUUGCUUUUAAAGUUUUAAUUUGUCCAGGGUUUUAAAAAGCAACAAAAAAUGCAUUGUUUUAAGUGUUUUUAUUCCAGAGUAUGUUUUAUUACUAUUAUAUGUAGAAAUAAUCUGAUAUGUACACGUUGGUAACUUCUGCUAUCUUAUAUGGUGUCCUAACCAAGUCUAUGUUAUUAUUACUGAUACAAAACAACUGGACGGCUUAUUUUUGAGUGCGGCUUAUUUAUAAGCCCUUUUUGCCUGUAGUGAAAUGGCGGCUUAUUUUCGAGACCGGCUUGUUUUCAAAACCGGCUUAUUUUCGGGAUUUCAGUGCAUGCUAACGCUAAACUCGUUAUAUAAAGUAAUAUUCUGAAAUUUAAGAAAAUUUUAGAAGAAUGUGAUUAAAACUUUUAACCAGUCCAA